rnacentral:rRNA from 1 species
AGGUAACGCGUGGGAAUCUACCCUAGAGCGGGGGACAACCCGGGGAAACCCGGGCUAAUACCGCAUACGUCCUACGGGAGAAAGAGGGCCUCUGCUUGCACGCUCUCACUCCAGGAUGAGCCCACGUCCGAUUAGCUAGUUGGUAGGGUAAAGGCCUACCAAGGCCACGAUCGGUAGCUGGUCUGAGAGGAUGAUCAGCCACACUGGGACUGAGACACGGCCCAGACUCCUACGGGAGGCAGCAGUGGGGAAUAUUGGACAAUGGGCGCAAGCCUGGUCCAGCAAUGCCGCGUGUGUGAAGAAGGCCUGCGGGUUGUAAAGCACUUUCAGUGGGGAAGAACAGAUUCGGGUCAAUACCCCGGAGCCCUGACGUUACCCACAGAAGAAGCACCGGCUAACUCCGUG